UACAGAGGAGCCAAGCGUUGUCCGGAUUGACUGGGCGUAAAGCGCACGUAGGCGGGUCGCUAAGUCGGGGGUGAAAUCCUGGAGCUCAACUCCAGAACUGCCUUCGAAACUGACGAUCUUGAGUUCGGGAGAGGUGAGUGGAACUGCGAGUGUAGAGGUGAAAUUCGUAGAUAUUCGCAAGAACACCAGUGGCGAAGGCGGCUCACUGGCCCGAUACUGACGCUGAGGUGCGAAAGCCAGGGGAGCAAAGCGGG
rnacentral:rRNA from 1 species